rnacentral:rRNA from 1 species
AUUGAACGCUGGCGGAAUGCUUUACACAUGCAAGUCGAACGGCAGCACGGGGGCAGCCCUGGUGGCGAGUGGCGAACGGGUGAGUAAUACAUCGGAACGUGCCCGGUCGUGGGGGAUAACGUAGCGAAAGUUACGCUAAUACCGCAUACGAUCUGAGGAUGAAAGCGGGGGACCUUCGGGCCUCGCUCGAUCGGAGCGGCCGAUGUCAGAUUAGGUAGUUGGUGGGGUAAAGGCCUACCAAGCCGACGAUCUGUAGCUGGUCUGAGAGGACGACCAGCCACACUGGGACUGAGACACGGCCCAGACUCCUACGGGAGGCAGCAGUGGGGAAUUUUGGACAAUGGGCGCAAGCCUGAUCCAGCCAUUCCGCGUGCAGGACGAAGGCCUUCGGGUUGUAAACUGCUUUUGUACGGAACGAAAAGGCUCUGGCUAAUACCUGGGGCUCAUGACGGUACCGUAAGAAUAAGCACCGGCUAACUACGUG